AAAUUAUGUUUUGGCUGAUAUGGUGUAACAUUCAAAAUUGGCGGGUUAUAUCGAUUUUGAACUUAAUUUCUGUGUGACUUUUAAUUUACUUUGAUAACUUUCAACCAUAAAAAUUUGGCUCGGUGAAAUUUUAUGGAGUGAAGAAGAUAGUAAAUGUCGUGUUUGAUUGUGUGCCCACGUGAUUAUACGGAGUCUAUAUAAUCACGGGUGAACGUCAUCAACGGACAAACGGAAGGGCGUGUCAAGGAUUGUUAAGACUCUCACUCAAGUCCAGCAGCAAAUCGCUUUCUUGAUGUCGGCAUCAAUUCAAAAAUUCUUUUUGUCUGUCUCUGCUGCUACUUAAGCUAGUAAAUACGCAGACUGUACUAAACACUAUUUCCAUCACGUAACACGCGCUCUCCCUUUUUACCUCUUGUUUCCCUUUCUCUCAGUUCAAGAAUUCUCUAUAUUCGCCAGAGAAUUUAACUAAAUUAACCAGAUAGCCCUGUAGAGAGUUCGUAUAUUUUCACGGACAACAUUCGACAGCCCUGACAAUCAUCACGUCAAAAUCCCGUCUCAUCUGAGCUCUAGAAAGAGAAAGGUGUCUUCUUAUCCAGUAUCGAAACAAUUGCACUUAAAAGGUAUUGUAUAGAAUCAAAGUAUUAGAGAGUCUAUCACGUAUACAUCUAGAUAUGGUUCGGAAGCGGAUCCGGUUCGAAUCCGGUGCGACGAGAGUGGAUGUUGCUGCCGACUCGUGUGCUGGCACACAUUGACUCUUUGGAUAAGCGGACGACGACGACGGCUGGCCGUGAGUCUGUGUGUGAGUUGUGUUUCACGUUCAAGAGAAAAUAGAAAUUGCGCUGGUCCUGCCGGUAGACCUUGACACGGUCCCUCUCUUUCGUUUCCAGUGAGCAGUAUAUUUAUAAUAAUAAUAAUCCAUCUUUGAAUACACAUAUACCGGUCAAACGUGAACGAACGAACCAGUUAUUUUCCUUUUUUUUUCCCCAAGUCCAAUAUUAGCCAGGGCCAGCAGCCAACAGUAUAUAAUAAAACAUCGGUACAGCAGGUAUAAUAUAACAAUUGUUCAUUCAAUUGCGGGAGAGAGAGAGAUCGUUGUCUUGGUAUAUCUCUCGGAUGUAUGGCGAAUAUCACACACACACACACACGGUACACGAGUCUGUUGGUAGAUAAAUGGUGUAAUGACCGGAUCACGUUUAAAAAGGGAAAUUCUUUUUUCUGGGAAACUAUUUUUUUAUUAUCUUCAUGCGAAUUCGUCAUCCAUUCGCUGUAUAGACUCGUGAUUUCAACGUCAUGGCCAAUUGGCCAACAAUCGAGUAUUUAACACAGAGCCAUAUUUCUCUCUUAACAGGACGCUGCUGGAAAACUUGUUCAAAAUUCCCUUUUAGAACGAUUUUAAGGGUUUUUAUUAUCUCGCCAUUCAAUAUAAAACCAGAAUGGUUCAAAAUGAAAUAAUCAGGUUCACGGUGUGUUGGUUUCUUCGUAAAUCAUUUUCACUUUCGAUUUCGUUUGAGUUGAAUUAUUACCUUUUUCGAUCGUCUAAUUCUUUCUUUGACAUCGUGAUCCAGACACCGCAAACCAUUUACAAGAGCCCCUGGGAGUUUAGGAGUUCGCAUAUCAGACUCUCCGGUCUUCAUUGUAAUGAUACCGGUAUCCGUCCAAAUCUAACCUACAUUUAAAUGAUGCAAUAUCCUAUUCGCCAUUUUCUAAAUUGAACGUUUCACUAGAACCGAGAGAGAGAGAGUGUGCCCGAUGAUUAUUUCACGAUGGAAAUCCAAACGUGUGUUAUUCAGACUACUAUUGGCAUUGCGUCAGCUGAUUAUUGGAGUCGGGUUCACCAUCCAUCGUCGCUUUGUGAAACUCUCGACUCCCGUUUUUUCUUCUUCUUCCAACAUUUCGCUGAUGGCUGAAAGAAAGUUCACCCGUGCGUUUUGUGUGUGUUGCCAUUUUGUUUCGAUUAGGUUUUGAUUCGAGCAGCAGAGAGAGUUUGACCUGUUUGACCGGUGCCAUACAGUUGCGUAAAUGCACAUCAUCGGGAAAAUUAAUUUUAACAUAGCGGAUGGACAGCAGCAGAGCGAAAAAAAAUAACGAAAGUAUCAAAACCCCCUCCAACAGGUUAACAACUUCUUUUCUAUUUUAUUUUAUUUUUUUCACUUUCGUUUUUGUUUUUCAUUCCGGGUAGGUAUUUAUUACGAUGGGGCAUUCCACAUCCCUUCUCUAACGACCCGUAUACGGUUAUUGCCCGUCUACAUCAUUGAACUUCCAAUUCACAACCCCGGGAGAAAAUGAAACCGGUUCCAUCGAGGGCCACCAGCGAGAUUACCCAACGAGAGAAAGAAAGAGAAAUGGAAUUCCAUCCGCUCACUGCACUCAUCGCAACACAAUAAGUGAGAGUGCGGAUUAUUAUUAAACAAUUAAUUUAUGCAAAAAGAGACGGAGUAUAUAUGCAUAUACGUGUACAAUACGCCUCGUUUUUUUUUUAUGAUGAUGGAGUCUAAUUGCUCACGGCCUGCAGCUCUAUUGCAUCAUCCGAUAAUUGUUAUCGCAAUUCACGAAUUCUUCACGUUCUCUUCUUUCUCGGGUCGGGUGAAUCCAACGAGUUGGCGGCUGUUUUAUGGGUCAGUCACAAUUUGAAAUUAUUUGAAACCAUUUAAGGAAUUCAACUCGUAAAUAAUCAACAAUCAAUCGACUUUAUGCCUACAAUUUGAUCUCAUAAGGAGCGUGAAAGUCUU
rnacentral:lncRNA from 1 species